rnacentral:rRNA from 1 species
CCUACGGGAGGCAGCAGUGGGGAAUAUUGCUCAAUGGGGGAAACCCUGAAGCAGCAACGCCGCGUGAAGGAUGAAUGCUUUAGGGGUGUAAACCUCUUUUGUUAGAGAAGAUUAUGACGGUAUCUGACUAAUAAUCACCGGCUAACUCCGUGCCAGCAGCCGCGGUAAUACGGAGGGUGCAAGCGUUAUCCGGAAUCACUGGGCGUAAAGUGUGCGUAGACGGGGUAAUAAGUCAGAUGUGAAAUCAUGCAGCUUAACCAUAGAACUGCAUUUGAAACUGUUAGUCUGGAGUGUAGGAGAGGUAGGUGGAAUUCUUGGUGUAGGGGUAAAAUGCGUAGAUAUCACGAGGAACACCCAUUGCGAAGGCGGCUUACUAGACUAUCACUGACGCUGAUGCUCGAAAGCGUGGGGAGCAAACAGGAUUAGAUACCCCAGUAGUC